UACUUGACUCUAAAAGUUGUUUCUUCAUGGUUCUCAUCCCAUAUGGUCACUUUCUGGUGCUUUGUUCAAAGGCCCUAUGGCAGUGACAGUAUUCCUCAUUG